AAAAUAUGAAAACCCACUCGUGGUGACCUUUGUCCCCACGAGUAUAAUCUAUAUACCACAUCUUGUGAACCGUACCGUCUUUGGUGGUGGGGUGGACGCUGCGGUCCGCAGCGCGCCAUCUGUCAGCUUGGAUCGAAAGCUCCGGGCCGUGGACAAGCCACCGCAUGUAUUCAAACCUUUGCUUGCUGUUUUUGUCUGACGAUUCAUUCUGUAUUAAAUAUACAAA
rnacentral:misc_RNA from 1 species